rnacentral:lncRNA from 1 species
CCAUAAUCACAGCGGGCGAGAGCGGAGACGGGGAGCGAAAAAUCCGGGAUCCGGCAACUUUGGGGCGCGCAUGCGCGCCCGCCGCGCUCCAUCCCAAACACACACACAUUUUUCCCCCGGACUUGGAAAGUCACCCAAAGCCGCCCCAAGUGCAGGACCGACAGACUCCACUGAUUGAAGGCAAAGAUCUCUUCCCCUCCGGUCUCCGUCUCUGCUUAUAGUCAUCGGCCCCUCCUUGCCAAGGGGAAGGUGAAAAACCCCAGCAGGUUGGAAUGGACUUCAGACCCUGGGCCUUCUGGAUGCAAGGAUGAAGUGAUUCUGCCAGCCACAUACCAACCGAGCGGCCAAGGAGCGAUCCCCCACAAGAACGUAUGCUACCUGAAGGCAGCUCUCAGCCCAAUGCCCUGCACACAAGGAGUGCUGAGUGACCAGCGUUUGGAACCAGGUCCUUGGAUUGCGGAUCCAGAACUCGGGGCAGCUGGGUGGUCUUGAGCAAGGCCCUUCCCCUGGGCCUCAGUUCCCUCUGAGGGUCCUUCCAGCUCUGAAGGCUUGUGAUUCCAGGAGCAGGGAGGGGUUGAGUUUCCCUUGGCUUUAGGGGACGGCCACGGGGAAGGGGACAAUCACAGCUGGGCGCACACCAAGGACAGAGGGAGUGGUGAUAGAUAUGCCCAGGGGAGGCCCAGCCAGUGGGGCAGAGCAGAUCCCUCUGGGUCUGGAGGAGAGGGUGGCUGUAGACAGCAGAGACCAGGCGUGGACGGUCCUCAGCAGGGGCUGGAGGCUGGAUAAGGGAAGGUGACCCGGGCAGGCUUGCUGGUGAGCAGGCAGGUGUGUUCCAAGUGGAAAUGAUACUAGAUUUGGGG